AAAAACGAGGAAUGUUUGACAGCGGGUGUUAUUGCUGCAAUUGUGAUUGCCUUCUUUACGGUCGGUGUAUUAAUAGGGGUGGCGUUAACAUGGGUGAAUUUAAGUACAAAACAAAUAAUGAAAGGUAGGACGGAGCAAAGUCAACACCAGACAUCAUCAAUAUCUCGAGAAACAGAAUUAAAUGCUUCGUCACAUUUACCAAAUACCUAUGAACAACUUCAAAGCAGAGCCGAUACUGGAAAAUAAUUUGGCUUAUGAUUCCCUACAUGGUACGUAAAUUAUGUUCUUACUGUGAACAACUUUCCUUCCUUGUAUUUAAUUGUUUGACACGUUUUCUUUAACCUUUUAUUUAUCUGUAAAUUUAAAUUUUACAUAAUCGAUAUGAUGUCAAAUUGAUUUUUUACAUUUAAUUUGAGAUUGUAUAUUGAAUCAAUUCAUUAUUUAUAAAUUAUGACAUAUUAUGUAUACUUUUGAAAGUUGUCUGCCACUCAACCCUGGGAUCGUCAGUUCUAGCUCUACUUAGGUCACGACUAAGAUUUCUCAUAUGACUCCAAUUUUGAUUAGUUUCAGGUUGUGGACGUGAAAACUAUUAAUAUAAGUUUCAUUAAAAUGUUUCACAAAAUAACUUUAU